rnacentral:rRNA from 1 species
UGAGUAAUAUGUAGGAAAUCUGCCCUUAAGGAGGGGACAACAGAGGGAAACUUCUGCUAACUACCCCAUAUGAGCGUAGCUAGAAAUGCUAUUCUUAGAAAACUCCGGUGCUUAAGGAUGAGCCUGCAUCUGUAUUAGCUAGUUGGGGUGUAAUGGACCACCAAGGCGACGAUCAGUAGCUGGUUUGAGAGGAUGAUCAGCCACAAUGGGACUGAGACACGGCCCAUACUCCUACGGGAGGCAGCAGUAGGGAAUUUUGCGCAAUGGGCGAAAGCCUGACGCAGCAACGCCGCGUGAUUGAAGAAGCCCUUCGGGGUGUAAAGAUCUGUCAGUGGGGACGAAACUUGACGGUACCCACAGAGGAAGCAUCGGCUAACUCCGUG